rnacentral:rRNA from 1 species
AACGAACGCUGGCGGCAUGCCUAACACAUGCAAGUCGAACGAGAUCUUCGGAUCUAGUGGCGCACGGGUGCGUAACGCGUGGGAAUCUGCCCUUCGGUUGGGAAUAACUGAGAGAAAUUUCAGCUAAUACCUUAUAAUGUCUUCGGACCAAAGAUUUAUCGCCGAGGGAUGAGCCCGCGUAGGAUUAGCUAGUUGGUGGGGUAAUGGCCUACCAAGGCGACGAUCCUUAGCUGGUCUGAGAGGAUGAUCAGCCACACUGGGACUGAGACACGGCCCAGACUCCUACGGGAGGCAGCAGUGGGGAAUAUUGGACAAUGGGCGAAAGCCUGAUCCAGCAAUGCCGCGUGAGUGAUGAAGGCCUUAGGGUUGUAAAGCUCUUUUACCAGGGAUGAUAAUGACAGUACCUGGAGAAUAAGCUCCGGCUAACUCCGUGCCAGCCGCCGCAGUAA